rnacentral:rRNA from 1 species
AGGGUUCGAUUCUGGCUCAGGAUGAACGCUAGCGACAGGCUUAACACAUGCAAGUCGAGGGGCAGCAUAAAAGUAGCAAUACUUUGGUGGCGACCGGCGCACGGGUGAGUAACGCGUAUGCAACCUACCUAUCAGGAAGGGAAUAACCCGGCGAAAGUCGGACUAAUACCGCAUAAAACAGGGACACCGCAUGGUGAUAUUUGUUAAAGAAAUUCGCUGAUAGAUGGGCAUGCGUUCCAUUAGGUAGUUGGUGAGGUAACGGCUCACCAAGCCGACGAUGGAUAGGGGAACUGAGAGGUUGGUCCCCCACACUGGUACUGAGACACGGACCAGACUCCUACGGGAGGCAGCAGUGAGGAAUAUUGGUCAAUGGGCGAGAGCCUGAACCAGCCAAGUCGCGUGAAGGAAAGAAGGAUCUAUGGUUCGUAAACUUCUUUUGCAGGGGAAUAAAGUGCAGGACGUGUCCUGUUUUGUAUGUACCCUGAGAAUAAGGAUCGGCUAACUCCGUGCCAGCAGCUGC